rnacentral:sRNA from 1 species
CUCCCCCGCGCCCUUACCACAGUGUUCCAGACAUGCUGACUCAUUCUCUAAAUAGAAGAUAAGCUGACCCAAAGACUAUGUAUUAUUUAAUAGAAAAGAUUACUGAAAGCCCAGAGGGAGCCAUAUAUCUUCUGUGAUGGCUCCCUUCCUCAUUUAUUUAAUGGCAUUAUAAGCGGCGUGUCCUCUAGGUGGAAGACAUAACUAAUAUGCUCUUGCUUCUGUUUUAAGACCCAGCCUCGCCUUUAAGGAUGGCAAAUAGUGCCCUGAUCUCCGUUGGCUGCUUGGCCAUAUUUGUCACUGUGAUCUCCCUCUUGGUGUACAAAAAACACAAAGAAUACAACCCAAUAGAAAAUAGUCCUGGGAAUGUGGUCAGAAGCAAAGGCCUGAGUGUCUUUCUCAACCGUGCAAAAGCCGUGUUCUUCCCGGGAAACCAGGAAAAGGAUCCGCUACUCAAAAACCAAGAAUUUAAAGGAGUUUCUUAAAUUUCGACCUUGUUUCUGAAGCUCACUUUUCAGUGCCAUUGAUGUGAGAUGUGCUGGAGUGGCUAUUAACCUUUUUUUCCUAAAGAUUAUUGUUAAAUAGAUAUUGUGGUUUGGGGAAGUUGAAUUUUUUAUAGGUUAAAUGUCAUUUUAGAGAUGGGGAGAGGGAUUAUACUGCAGGCAGCUUCAGCCAUGUUGUGAAACUGAUAAAAGCAACUUAGCAAGGCUUCUUUUCAUUAUUUUUUAUGUUUCACUUAUAAAGUCUUAGGUAACUAGUAGGAUAGAAACACUGUGUCCUGAGAGUAAGGAGAGAAGCUACUAUUGAUUAG